AGAGUUUGAUCCUGGCUCAGGACGAACGCUGGCGGCGUGCCUAACACAUGCAAGUCAAGGGACUCUUCGGAGUCACUGGCGCACGGGUGAGUAACGCGUAGGUCAUCUGCCCCUAUCUCUGACAUAACAUCGAGAAAUCGGUGCUAAUAUCAGAUGAGGUAGCAAUAUCAAAGGUUUCGGCUGGAUAGGGAUGAGCCUGCGUCUGAUUAGCUAGUUGGCGGUGUAAAAGACCACCAAGGCGACUAUCAGUAGCUGGUCUGAGAGGACGAUCAGCCACACUGGAACUGAGACACGGUCCAGACUCCUACGGGAGGCAGCAGUGAGGAAUAUUGGUCAAUGGGGGAAACCCUGAACCAGCGACGCCGCGUGCGGGAUGACGGGGCUUUGCCCUGUAAACCGCUGUCGGAGGGGAAGAAAAGCCGGGUCGCCCGGCUGGGACUGUACCCUUAGAGGAAGGUUCGGCUAACUACGUGCCAGCAGCCGCGGUAAUACGUAGGAACCAAGCGUUGUCCGGAAUUACUGGGUGUAAAGGGUGCGCAGGCGGAUUUGUGCGUCAAGGGUUAAAUACCUCGGCUUAACCGAGGAAAUGCCUUUGAUACGGCAAGUCUUGAGUACGAGAGAGGAUGGUAGAAUUCCUGGUGUAGCGGUGAAAUGCGUAGAUAUCAGGAGGAAUACCCGUGGCGAAGGCGGCCAUCUGGCUCGUUACUGACGCUCAGGCACGAAAGCGUGGGGAGCAAACAGGAUUAGAUACCCUGGUAGUCCACGCCGUAAACGAUGAUUACUCGUUGUUGGCGAUACACAGUCAGUGACUAAGCGAAAGCGAUAAGUAAUCCACCUGGGGAGUACGUUCGCAAGAAUGAAACUCAAAGGAAUUGACGGGGGCCCGCACAAGCGGUGGAGCAUGUGGUUUAAUUCGAUGAUACGCGAGGAACCUUACCUGGGCUCAAAUGUAAGUUGACGUAUGGUGAAAGCCAUAUUUCUUCGGACAAUUUACAAGGUGCUGCAUGGUUGUCGUCAGCUCGUGCCGUGAGGUGUCGGGUUAAGUCCCAUAACGAGCGCAACCCCUAUCAUUAGUUGCCAUCAGGUAAAGCUGGGGACUCUAAUGAAACUGCCUACGCAAGUAGAGAGGAAGGUGGGGAUGACGUCAAAUCAGCACGGCCCUUACGUCCAGGGCUACACACGUGCUACAAUGGCCGGUACAGAGGGCAGCCACCUGGUGACAGGGAGCGAAUCUCGAAAGCCGGUCUCAGUUCGGAUCGAAGUCUGCAACCCGACUUCGUGAAGCUGGAAUCGCUAGUAAUCGCGCAUCAGCCAUGGCGCGGUGAAUACGUUCCCGGGCCUUGUACACACCGCCCGUCAAGCCAUGGAAGCUGGGGGUACCUGAAGUCGGUAACCGUUAAGGAGCUGCCUAGGGUAAAACCAGUAACUGGGGCUAAGUCGUAACAAGGUA
rnacentral:rRNA from 1 species